GGAUUGUGGGUUCGAGUCCCACCAGGGGUAGCUUUUUCUAGGUCUCAAUUGGUUUUAAAUUUUAAUAAAAGCAGUCGAGAUCUAGAAAAAGAUUAUUAAAAUUGAUAACCUUAAAAACAUUUUUU
rnacentral:tRNA from 12 species